UAACCAUGAUGUAGGAAAGCAUUUAAAAUAUCCUUGAAUCUUUCCCAGCAUUGGAAGAAGGUUUCUUCCUCUUUAUGUGAAAAAUUCAUGAUCGUGCUCCUAAGAGU